GGAUAACCUGCCCUUGGGACCGGCAUAACCCCGGGAAACUGGGGAUAAUUCCGGAUAACGCAUAUUUGCUGGAAUGCUUUAUGCGUCAAAAGGAUUCGUCUGCCCAAGGAUGGGUCUGCGGCCUAUCAGGUAGUAGUGGGUGUAAUGUACCUACUAGCCAGCGACGGGUACGGGUUGUGAGAGCAAGAGCCCGGAGAUGGAUUCUGAGACAUGAAUCCAGGCCCUACGGGGCACAGCAGGCGCGAAAACUUUACAAUGCGGGAAACCGUGAUAAGGGGACACCGAGUGCCAGCAUCAUAUGCUGGCUGUCCGGAUGUGUAAAAUACAUCCGUUAGCAAGGGCCGGGCAAGACCGGUGCCAGCCGCCGCGGUAACACCGGCGGCCCGAGUGGUGAUCGUGAUUAUUGGGUCUAAAGGGUCCGUAGCCGGUUUGGUCAGUCCUCCGGGAAAUCUGAUAGCUCAACUAUUAGGCUUUCGGGGGAUACUGCCAGACUUGGAACCGGGAGAGGUAAGAGGUACUACAGGGGUAGGAGUGAAAUCUUGUAAUCCCUGUGGGACCACCUGUGGCGAAGGCGUCUUACCAGAACGGGUUCGACGGUGAGGGACGAAAGCUGGGGGCACGAACCGGAUUAGAUACCCGGGUAGUCCCAGCCGUAAACGAUGCUCGCUAGGUGUCAGGCAUGGCGCGACCGUGUCUGGUGCCGCAGGGAAGCCGUGAAGCGAGCCACCUGGGAAGUACGGCCGCAAGGCUGAAACUUAA
rnacentral:rRNA from 1 species